GCUAAGAGAGAGGCGUGGAACAGACUCUUCCUCACAUUCUUAAAGGAAACCAACCCUACUGAACCUUGAUCUUGGACUUCUAGCCUCCAGAAUUGUAACUGUUGAGUCCAUCUCCUUGAAGAAGUCCGCUCUGCAGCCUUCCUCCGACUCGCUCCAGUACGAACUGGUCCCUCUAAGCCUGCGGCAUCAUCGUCAUCUGGAAUCCUCGAUUCACCAUCAUUCUGGGGAUUUCCUCCGCCGCUAUCUUGUGAUGAAGACGCCGUCUCCUGGUUCCUAUUCUUCCUCUCUCCUGGUGUAUCCCCU
rnacentral:lncRNA from 1 species